rnacentral:rRNA from 1 species
CAGUCAUGCCGGCGGGAAUCAACUUAGGGGAAACUCUGGGUGCAUUUCUUCGUUUGGCAGGUUAGCGUCGAUUUUGGAUGCCAUAAAAUAAUUGGGGGAAGGUAGCUCCUUCGGGAGUGUUAUAGCCCUUGGUAGAUGUGAUGUCUGGGAUCGAGGAUUGCGACGGAUACCCUUCGGGGCUAGCCGCCUGAUCUCUAAUU